UGGGCCUGGGUGGUGCUGGGUUGGUCAGCCUGCCAGCUUUCCCUCAUCAUUACUCAGCACUGCCCUAGCCAGCUCACCCAAUGCAGCCUGCAGCAAGAGCAACAAGCUUGCGUCCUGUGCCUAGAGGCUCAUCUUCAUGGGCAGAACCCUGAGGAUAAGGAACAAGAUUGCACCUGCUCAUAGCUUCCCUGACAUCUAAGCUCAGCCCUGAGUCACAGAGAGAGCUACAACUGAGGCACUCAGAUCUACAGAGGCACCAGUCAGUCCCAUACACCCUGGACUACAAUAGAACAACCAGCAUGGCAACACCCCAACUUUCUCAGGUUCCCCCAAAGAUGAUCGACGCCCCAAGGUCAGCAGGAAGCAGUCUUAAG